rnacentral:rRNA from 1 species
UACGUAGGGUGCGAGCGUUGUCCGGAAUUACUGGGCGUAAAGAGCUCGUAGGUGGUUUGUCGCGUUGUUCGUGAAAACUCACAGCUUAACUGUGGGCGUGCGGGCGAUACGGGCAGACUGGAGUACUGCAGGGGAGACUGGAAUUCCUGGUGUAGCGGUGGAAUGCGCAGAUACCAGGAGGAACACCGGUGGCGAAGGCGGGUCUCUGGGCAGUAACUGACGCUGAGACGCGAAAGCGUGGGGAGCGAACAGG